rnacentral:tRNA from 1 species
UGAGGUGUAGCUCAGUGGUGGAGCACUUGCCUGGUGUGCACUAGGCCCUGGGUUUCAUCCCUAGCACCAAAA